AGAUACCCUGGUAGUCCACGCCGUAAACGAUGUCGACUUGGAGGUUGUGCCCUUGAGGCGUGGCUUCCGGAGCUAACGCGUUAAGUCGACCGCCUGGGGAGUACGGCCGCAAGGUUAAAACUCAAAUGAAUUGACGGGGGCCCGCACAAGCGGUGGAGCAUGUGGUUUAAUUCGAUGCAACGCGAAGAACCUUACCUGGCCUUGACAUCCACGGAAUUCGGCAGAGAUGCCUUAGUGCCUUCGGGAACCGUGAGACAGGUGCUGCAUGGCUGUCGUCAGCUCGUGUUGUGAAAUGUUGGGUUAAGUCCCGCAACGAGCGCAACCCUUAUCCUUUGUUGCCAGCGAGUAAUGUCGGGAACUCAAAGGAGACUGCCGGUGACAAACCGGAGGAAGGUGGGGAUGACGUCAAGUCAUCAUGGCCCUUACGGCCAGGGCUACACACGUGCUACAAUGGCGCAUACAAAGAGAAGCGAACUCGCGAGAGCAAGCGGACCUCACAAAGUGCGUCGUAGUCCGGAUCGGAGUCUGCAACUCGACUCCGUGAAGUCGGAAUCGCUAGUAAUCGUAGAUCAGAAUGCUACGGUGAAUACGUUCCCGGGCCUUGUACACACCGCCCGU
rnacentral:rRNA from 1 species